rnacentral:rRNA from 1 species
CCUUUGGGUGGGGAAUAACUCAGGGAAACUUGAGCUAAUACCGCAUAAUGCAGCGGCAUCUAUGAUGACAGUUGUUAAAGCGGGGGAUCGCAAGACCUCGCGCCUAAAGAGAAGCCUGCGGCAGAUUAGCUAGUUGGUAAGGUAAUGGCUUACCAAGGCAACGAUCUGUAACCGGCCUGAGAGGGCGGUCGGUCACACUGACACUGACAUACGGGUCAG